CGCGUAGGCGGUUAUUUAAGUCAGAUGUGAAAAACCGAGGCUCAACCUCGGCCUUGCAUUUGAAACUGGAUGACUUGAGGAUGAGAGAGGAAAGUGGAAUUCCUAGUGUAGCGGUGAAAUGCGUAGAUAUUAGGAGGAACACCAGUGGCGAAGGCGACUUUCUGGCUCAUACCUGACGCUGAGGCGCGAAAGCGUGGGAGCAAACA
rnacentral:rRNA from 1 species